UACGUAGGGUGCGAGCGUUGUCCGGGAAUUAUUGGGCGUAAAGAGCUUGUAGGCGGUCUGUCGCGUCUGCUGUGAAAAUCCGGGGCUCAACCCCGGACUUGCAGUGGGUACGGGCAGACUAGAGUGUGGUAGGGGAGACUGGAAUUCCUGGUGUAGCGGUGAAAUGCGCAGAUAUCAGGAGGAACACCGAUGGCGAAGGCAGG
rnacentral:rRNA from 1 species